UACAGAGGGUGCGAGCGUUAAUCGGAGUUACUGGGCGUAAAGGGCGCGUAGGUGGGAGAUUAAGUUGGAUGUGAAACCCCUGGGCUUAACCUGGGAAGGUCAUUCAAGACUGGUUUUCUGGAGUGCUGUAGAGGGUAGUGGAAUUUCCGGUGUAGCGGUGAAAUGCGUAGAGAUGGGGGAGAACACUCGUGGCGAAGGCGGCCAGCUGGACCAGUUCUGACACUGAGGCGCGAUAGCGUGGGGAGCAAACAGG
rnacentral:rRNA from 1 species